GACGAACGCUGGCGGCGUGCUUAACACAUGCAAGUCGAACGGAAAGGCCCAGCUUGCUGGGUACUCGAGUGGCGAACGGGUGAGUAACACGUGGGUGAUCUGCCCUGAACUUCGGGAUAAGCCUGGGAAACUGGGUCUAAUACCGGAUAUGACCAUUGGUUGCAUGACUUUUGGUGGAAAGCUUUUGCGGUUCAGGAUGGGCCCGCGGCCUAUCAGCUUGUUGGUGAGGUAACGGCUCACCAAGGCGACGACGGGUAGCCGACCUGAGAGGGGGAUCGGCCACACUGGGACUGAGACACGGCCCAGACUCCUACGGGAGGCAGCAGUGGGGAAUAUUGCACAAUGGGCGCAAGCCUGAUGCAGCAACGCCGCGUGGGGGAUGACGGCCUUCGGGUUGUAAACCUCUUUCGGCAGGGACGAAGCGCAAGUGACGGUACCCGCAGAAGAAGCACCGGCAAACUACGUGCCAGCCGCCGCCGUAAAAC
rnacentral:rRNA from 1 species